CACAGGCCCACAGGGUUAGGCGCUCGGUCACUCGGGUCUUACGCGACGGCGAGGCAGCGAUACGACGGCGGCGGGCAACCGACUGCCGGCGGUGGCACGGACCAAGCCACCACGGAGAGAUGGCGGAAGACGCUAGCUCCGGUCGACGGGCUCCUGCAACUCCGGUAGGCGACGCCGACAAUCGGAAGCGCAAGCUUGGGAGCCAGGGCGGACAUCUCCGGCGGGCGGCAGCUCGUCGGUGCGGCCGGCCAGCGCCGGUGAGCCCCUAGGGCCAGGAGGCAGCUGGCAGCAGUAGACCACGGCCAGUGCCCCAACGACGACGAGGGGCACGCAACAACUAGUAGGUAGAUUGUUAUCCCCUAUCUUCCACAGAAAAGUCGAGCGAAAUUUUGGUAGACUUCUUUUUCUGCGGGGAAUUAUGGUGGAUUUCUUUGACAUAUGGCAGGAAACACUUGCAAAGAAGUCGCUGCCUGGUCGAUUCAUCCAUGUAGAAUCAGAAUUUUCAGAGUAUGGCUUUUCAGAUCACCACUCUUUCCAGCACACCGCAGUACAGCACGCCACCUGCUUGCAGAAACUCAUGGCAGCAGUGAGGGUCUAGAUCUGCAGAUGGAAGUUUCAGAAUAUCAUGAUGUUUAGCUUGUUCCCAAGAUCCUGAUAACAUCAACCUAUGUCGGGACGUGUAUCUUAUGCGAUGGAAUGUAAUCGGUUUGCGCAUUCUUCGUGCUAGAUUUGUGAUGUUGACUUUAUUUACUUACUAGGAGUAGCUGUGUUCUGUGUUCUUAUUAACUCCCAAUAGAUGCUCGGUGACGUAGCUGUACGAAUUUCAACAUGAACAUCUGGAGCCGUCGCAAAUUUCAUGGAUGGA